rnacentral:rRNA from 1 species
GACGAACGCUGGCGGCGUGCUUAACACAUGCAAGUCGAACGGAAAGGCCCUGCUUUUGUGGGGUGCUCGAGUGGCGAACGGGUGAGUAACACGUGAGUAACCUGCCUUUGACUUUGGGAUAACUUCAGGAAACUGGGGCUAAUACCGGAUAGGAGCUCCUGCUGCAUGGUGGGGGUUGGAAAGUUUCGGCGGUUGGGGAUGGACUCGCGGCUUAUCAGCUUGUUGGUGGGGUAGUGGCUUACCAAGGCUUUGACGGGUAGCCGGCCUGAGAGGGUGACCGGCCACAUUGGGACUGAGAUACGGCCCAGACUCCUACGGGAGGCAGCAGUGGGGAAUAUUGCACAAUGGGCGGAAGCCUGAUGCAGAAACGCCGCGUGCGGGAUGACGGCCUUCGGGUUGUAAACCGCUUUCGCCUGUGACGAAGCGUGAGUGACGGUAAUGGGUAAAGAAGCACCGGCUAACUAUGUG